CCCAAGCGGUGGACUGUGGUUUAUUCGAAGCAACGCGCAGAACCUUACCAGGUCUUGACAUUCUGGGAAUGGGUUUGGAGACGAUGUCCUUCACUUAGGCUGGCCCCAGAACAGGGGCUGCAUGGCUGUCGUCCGCUCGUGUCGAGAGAUGUUGGGUUAAGUCCCGCAACGAAACCCUCCCUCGCCCUUAGUUGCCAGCAUUUAGUUGGGCACUCUAAAGGGACUGCCAGUGAUAAGCCGAAAGGAAGGAGGAGAUGACAUCAAGUCCUCCUGGACCUUACGGGCUGGGUUACUCCCAUGCUACACUGAUGGUGACGGAGGGAAGCGAGACCGUGAUGUCGAGCUUAUCUCCCCAAGCCAUCUCAUUUCGGAUUGCACUCUGAAAAUCGAGUGCAUGAAGUUGGAAUCGCUUGUCUCACAAAUCAGCAUGCUGGGCCCAAUACAUUUGCGGGGUCCGUCACUCCGUACGUAUUUAAAAAUA
rnacentral:rRNA from 1 species